GCGCUGCUCGCCGUCAUCGGGGAGAUCGGGACGGAGCCGGAGCGCGGGGCGCUGCGCAGCGCCCUGGAGCGCGGAAUUCGUUCCUGGAACAUUAACCUUCUGUCCUGUGACCUGAAUGAGCAACUCCGACUCUUUGUAACCCGGCACUUGGCUCAGUUUUCUUCAGAAGUUAAAGGUCCCCAUUGGAAGGAGUAUUGUGUUGACCAUUUAAAAGAAGGAAGAGUAUGAUCCCGCAGCUCCCUAGAACRGGAAGUCUUAAGAUAUCUGGCGCAGGUCAUCCGAGGGAAGCCACUGUCUUCUAACUUCAGGCUUUGUGCAGCUUUGCCUUCAUCCUUUCGUAAUAUCAAGGGUUCCCGGUUUUCUGACAUGAGGAGAGAUCACUUAAGAGCAUUACAUUCUGGAAAUGUCAUAGCCAGAAGGUCAAAAUAAGCUUGGAUUUUACUGCAGCCUCCCUAACCAACUGAUACAAACUUCUACAACACUGCAUUGCACUUCUACUGCAGCAACUAUCAAGAUUUUUCUAUUUUGUCUGUCACUGUAGUUGAAUUAGUUUCUAGUUACCUAUUAGUUGCAGUUGGUUACCUAAGAGCUCGGCAAACAUCCAAGCUAAGGUUUGAUCUGUUUUAUAUUUUAAGAAAAGGACCUGCUAAAUCUGAAAUGAAUUAACUAAAGAGGAAAAAUACCUCACCCAAGCAGGUCAGUAAAGGCCUGUUAGAGUGUGUUUUUAUGAGGUAUAAUGUG